GCAUUGGUAGUUCAGUGGUAGAAUUCUUGCCUUCCAUGUGAGAGACCCAGGUUCAGUUCCCAGCCAAUGUA
rnacentral:tRNA from 1 species